ncrna:Capitella teleta microRNA cte-mir-153 precursor
GAAUACGACAGCUUUUGUGGUUAUCAAUUGUGAAUUCUGAGACAAAUUGCAUAGUCACAAAAGUGAUCGUAAUC